rnacentral:rRNA from 1 species
AGAGUUUGAUCCUGGCUCAGGAUGAACGCUAGCGGCAGGCCUAAUACAUGCAAGCUGAACGGUAACUCUGUUAGCAAUAAUGGAGCUAGAGUAGCGUAAGGGUGUGUAACACGUAUGCAAUCUGCCCGCAACAGGAGGAUAGCUUGAUGAAAGUUGAGAUAAGACUCCAUAACACCAUUUGAGGGCAUCUGAGGAUGGUUAAACUACCAGGGGUUGCGGAUGAGCAUGCGCAUGAUUAGUUAGUUGGCGGGGUAACGGCCCACCAAGACAAUGAUCAUUAGGGGAACUGAGAGGUUGGUCCCCCACACUGGCACUGAGAUACGGGCCGGACUCCUACGGGAGGCAGCAGUAGGGAAUAUUGGACAAUGGGUGCAAGCCUGAUCCAGCCAUGCCGCGUGCAGGAAGAAAGCCUUCUGGGUUGUAAACUGCUUUUUUCUGGGGAUAAAAUACCCGUGCGCGGGGAAUUGAAAGUACCAGGAGAAUAAGCCACGGCUAACUACGUGCCAGCAGCCGCGGUAAUACGUAGGUGGCAAGCGUUGUCCGGAUUUAUUGGGUUUAAAGGGUGCGUAGGCGGUUUUUUAAGUCAGUGGUGAAAUCCGGCAGCUCAACUGUCGAUGUGCCAUUGAUACUGGGAAACUUGAGUACUGAUGAGGUAGGCGGAAUGGACGGUGUAGCGGUGAAAUGCUUAGAGAUCGUCCAGAACACCGAUAGCGAAGGCAGCUUACUAAGGAGUAACUGACGCUGAGGCACGAAAGUGUGGGGAUCGAACAGGAUUAGAUACCCUGGUAGUCC